AUAAAUAAAAUUCAAGAUUAAAGGUUUAUAAUAUAAUGUUCAUCGCAAAUCCUAGCACAAAAUAAUUUAGCCAAGCAUAAAGUUAAAAUUAAACAAGUAAAGGGAAAACGACAUCACCAGUAAUUUGACGGAAUGUGGUUAAUUCUCCAACUUUUCGCAAAAUGAUAGAAUGAUUUUAAAUGCAUGAAAAUUUGGAAUUCCUUUCUCCCAUGUUCGCCGUCUGUCUCCUUCAAUUGCAGUGCGUAGUUUUGUCUCGUUUUCUUCAAUUUCCAGCCACCUAAUUCUAUAUUUCUGUGCGUGUAAAUGUCUUGCUGCCCCUUUUUUAUUCCCAGAAACAGUCGUUGAUUUUACUUGUUUAGCACUUAAUUUCCAGCUUCCAAUAUGCCGACUUGUGUAUAUGAAUAAUCCCCAAAAGGGCUUCCAAUUUUCCACCGUCCAAUCUGCUGAUUUCUCUGGGUAUUAUAUAUAAAAAUCACUCUUGCAACCCUCCAAUCUAU
rnacentral:lncRNA from 1 species